rnacentral:tRNA from 1 species
ACCUGAUUGGCUCAGUUGGUUGAGCAUGCAACUCUUAACCUUGGGGUCAUGGGUUCAAGCCCCAUGUUGGGUG